GAUGAACGCUGGCGGCGUGCCUAAUACAUGCAAGUCCAGCGAACAGACGAGGAGCUUGCUCCUUCGACGUUAGCGGCGGACGGGUGAGUAACACGUAGGUAACCUACCUAUAAGACUGGGAUAACUUCGGGAAACCGGAGCUAAUACCGGAUAAUAUUUCGAACCGCAUGGUUCGAUAGUGAAAGAUGGCUUUGCUAUCACUUAUAGAUGGACCUGCGCCGUAUUAGCUAGUUGGUAAGGUAACGGCUUACCAAGGCAACGAUACGUAGCCGACCUGAGAGGGUGAUCGGCCACACUGGAACUGAGGCACGGUCCAGACUCCUACGGGAGGCAGCAGUAGGGAAUCUUCCGCAAUGGGCGAAAGCCUGACGGAGCAACGCCGCGUGAGUGAUGAAGGUCUUCGGAUCGUAAAACUCUGUUAUUAGGGAAGAACAAACGUGUAAGUAACUGUGCACGUCUUGACGGUACCUAAUCAGAAAGCCACGGCUAACUACGUG
rnacentral:rRNA from 1 species